rnacentral:rRNA from 1 species
AGCGAGCCCAACCUCCCACCCGUGUUUACUGUACCUUAGUUGCUUCGGCGGGCCCGCCAUUCAUGGCCGCCGGGGGCUCUCAGCCCCGGGCCCGCGCCCGCCGGAGACACCACGAACUCUGUCUGAUCUAGUGAAGUCUGAGUUGAUUGUAUCGCAAUCAGUUAAAACUUUCAACAAUGGAUCUCUUGGUUCCGGCAUCGAUGAAGAACGCAGCGAAAUGCGAUAACUAGUGUGAAUUGCAGAAUUCCGUGAAUCAUCGAGUCUUUGAACGCACAUUGCGCCCCCUGGUAUUCCGGGGGGCAUGCCUGUCCGAGCGUCAUUGCUGCCCAUCAAGCACGGCUUGUGUGUUGGGUCGUCGUCCCCUCUCCGGGGGGGACGGGCCCCAAAGGCAGCGGCGGCACCGCGUCCGAUCCUCGAGCGUAUGGGGCUUUGUCACCCGCUCUGUAGGCCCGGCCGGCGCUUGCCGAACGCAAAUCAAUCUUUUUCCAGGUUGACCUCGGAUCAGGUAGGGAUACCCGCUGAACUUAAGCAUAUC